rnacentral:rRNA from 2 species
AGCGGCGGACGGGUGAGUAACACGUGGGCAACCUGCCUGUAAGACUGGGAUAACUUCGGGAAACCGGAGCUAAUACCGGAUAAUCCUUUUCCUCUCAUGAGGAAAAGCUGAAAGUCGGUUUACGCUGACACUUACAGAUGGGCCCGCGGCGCAUUAGCUAGUUGGUGAGGUAACGGCUCACCAAGGCGACGAUGCGUAGCCGACCUGAGAGGGUGAUCGGCCACACUGGGACUGAGACACGGCCCAGACUCCUACGGGAGGCAGCAGUAGGGAAUCUUCCGCAAUGGACGAAAGUCUGACGGAGCAA